ACGAACGCUGGCGGCGUGCUUCACACAUGCAAGUCGAACGGAAAGGCCCUGCUUUUGUGGGGUGCUCGAGUGGCGAACGGGUGAGUAACACGUGAGUAACCUGCCCUUGACUUUGGGAUAACUUCAGGAAACUGGGGCUAAUACCGGAUAGGAGCUCCUGCUGCAUGGUGGGGGUUGGAAAGUUUCGGCGGUUGGGGAUGGACUCGCGGCUUAUCAGCUUGUUGGUGGGGUAGUGGCUUACCAAGGCUUUGACGGGUAGCCGGCCUGAGAGGGUGACCGGCCACAAUGGGACUGAGAUACGGCCCAGACUCCUACGGGAGGCAGCAGUGGGGAAUAUUGCACAAUGGGCGGAAGCCUGAUGCAGCAACGCCGCGUGCGGGAUGACGGCCUUCGGGUUGUAAACCGCUUUCGCCUGUGACGAAGCGUGAGUGACGGUAAUGGGUAAAGAAGCACCGGCUAACUACGUG
rnacentral:rRNA from 1 species